rnacentral:tRNA from 1 species
GCCCGUGUGGCCAAGUGGUAAGGCGUCGCACUUGUAAUGCGAAGAUCCAUAUCUUCUCAAAAUAUAAUGGCA